rnacentral:rRNA from 1 species
AACGAACGCUGGCGGCAUGCCUAACACAUGCAAGUCGAACGAGACCUUCGGGUCUAGUGGCGCACGGGUGCGUAACGCGUGGGAACCUGCCCUUAGGUUCGGAAUAACUCCCCGAAAGGGGUGCUAAUACCGGAUAAUGUCUUCGGACCAAAGAUUUAUCGCCUUUGGAUGGGCCCGCGUUGGAUUAGCUAGUUGGUAGGGUAAAAGCCUACCAAGGCGACGAUCCAUAGCUGGUCUCAGAGGAUGAUCAGCCACAGGGGGACUGAGACACGGCCCAGACUCCUACGGGAGGCAGCAGUGAGGAAUAUUGGACGAUGGGCGAAAGCCUGAUCCAGCUAUGCCGCGUGAGUGAUGAAGGCCUUAGGGUAGUAAAGCUCUUUUACCCGAGAUGAUAAUGACGGUACCGGGAGAAUAAGCUCCGGCUAACUCCGUG